rnacentral:tRNA from 1 species
AAAAAGAUAAGCUAAUAAAAGCUAAUGGGUUCAUACCCCAUUUAUAGAGGUGAUAACCCUCUUCUUUUUA